GAGUAAAUUAUUUGGAUUAUACCUAUCACAGUGUGUCAACGUUAUGCCUAUUGUUAUUUUGGACUAUAGGGUGUAGUUUUUAAAGUCAUACACAAUAUGGCGGCGAUUAUGCGGAAAUGAAAUUGAAUGUUACUUCGAACACGUUCUUCUACAAAAUAACCGACCUGUAUUUAGUGCUAUUGCUUUAACAUCAAUCGAAGCAAAAAUGGCAUCAAUGUAUGCGUCUAAAAAUGUUAAAUUUAGAUGGAGACAAUCCAGAAAUGAGCUGCCAGGAAGUGAUCGAUUUCGGACACGAAGAUUGAGAAGUGCCUGGAUACAAGGCUAGUAUUGUUAACAUCAUCUGAUACAAUCAACUGGAACAAAGCUGAAAUGGCUGCCUGACCUGACUUAAAAAUUGGAUGGCAGUACAUCAGACUAGAAGAUUACAAGUAUUGAGGUGGACAAAAUGAAACAUGAGCCUACCAAAGCUGACAGAUUGCACAAGAAACACAUAAAUGCAGAUUGGAAGAUUCAUUCUCUGGAAAGUAGAAAAGGGCAUGUUACAUACUGUUAUCACUGCCAUGACAGAAACCAUAUUGAGGAGCUGGUCCACCUGUAGGAAGAAUUGCCCUAUUGGUUGGAGCAGCACUAUUACCCAGCCAUACACCAGCACUUAGUUUGUCAUAGGGAGCAUUUCUGGGCAGUUAUGGAGACCACUAACUAUGCAGUUGUUGCAGUGAAACUUGCACCAGUGUGUUUUCUGUGGAAAUAAAGAGAUAGUGUCCAGCAAUGAAGACCCAACUCAAGAUCUGACCUUGUAAGGCCAAUAUGAAAUAACUGUGUGGAAAAAUGGGAAAAACCUGCAGUCAGGAAUGUACGGAAAUCAUCAAAAGAACAGUGUUAAAUUAAUCUUGAAUAACUUGACAUUUAUUUUGUUUGACAUAUUUAUUCAUGGUGCAGUGAAAACAUUCUUUUUUUCUCAUGGUUAUUUAAAUUUAGAAUUAAUAGGAGGGAACAUCACUAUGUAGUUUCAUGUUCAUAGUCAGAUUAAAACCCAUGUACAUGCCCAAAUGAGCAUUCGAAAAUAUCAAAAUGGUACUUGUUGUAUGUAGUGUAAGUUAAUUAACAUAAUAAACAAAAAUAUUUAA